rnacentral:rRNA from 1 species
CCUACGGGUGGCAGCAGUGAGGAAUAUUGGUCAAUGGGCGGAAGCCUGAACCAGCCAAGUCGCGUGAGGGAAUAAGGCCCUACGGGUCGUAAACCUCUUUUGCCGGGAGCAAGGGCCGGGACGCGUCCCGGCCCUGCGAGUACCCGGAGAAAAAGCAUCGGCUAACUCCGUGCCAGCAGCCGCGGUAAUACGGAGGAUGCGAGCGUUAUCCGGAUUUAUUGGGGUAAAAGGGUGCGUAGGCGGGCUUUUAAGUCAGCGGUAAAAUUUCGGGGCUCAACCCCGUCCGGCCGUUGAAACUGGGGGCCUUGAGUGGGCGAGAAGAAGGCGGAAUGCGUGGUGUAGCGGUGAAAUGCAUAGAUAUCACGCAGAACCCCGAUUGCGAAGGCAGCCUGCCGGCGCCCUACUGACGCUGAGGCACGAAAGUGCGGGGAUCGAACAGGAUUAGAUACCCCAGUAGUC